UACGGAGGGGGCUAGCGUUGUUCGGAAUUACUGGGCGUAAAGCGCACGUAGGCGGCUUUGUCAGUUAGCGGUGAAAGCCCGGAGCUCAACUCCGGAAUUGCCUUUAAGACUGCAUCGCUAGAAUUGUGGAGAGGUAAGUGGAAUUCCGAGUGUAGAGGUGAAAUUCGUAGAUAUUCGGAAGAACACCAGUGGCGAAGGCGACUUACUGGACACAUAUUGACGCUGAGGUGCGAAAGCGUGGGGAGCAAACAGG
rnacentral:rRNA from 1 species